UAUCGAAACAAUAUAUGGAUCAUUUCGAAUUUUCGAUCUUUUAAAAAUUCAAUUUUACUACUCAACUUUUAAAUUCGUUUGAUUUGAGAAAGUCAACCUAAGCUAAUCAACGGCAUAUCGACUUCAAAACUCAAGCUAAUUCGUUACUUUAAUAUAUUUAUAUUGUGAGAAUUGUAUGAAGGAUACUAAUUAAACCCAUAAUGAUAAACGACGUAUUCAAAUGUUGAAGUCAAAGUGUUAUAGGCCGACUCAAAUCAAACGAAUUGAAGGGCUGAGUAAUAAAAUAAAAAUUUUGAAAAGUUGGAAAGUCGAUUCAAAAUGAUUUAUAGUUCAGAUAAAUUCGGUAUGUUUUUACAAAUGAAAAAUUAUUGCUUGUAGCUAGUUUAUCUAUUAGUUUGUACACUACAAAUUAUUCUUUUUUUUUUAAUUCAUCUCAUAUUUUUAAUCGAGAGAUCUUAUUUUUACAUUGUAGCUCAAAGGAUAAUAAGAUUAAAAUAUCUGACCAAAAAAAAUAGUCCAUAAAUAAUUAAAUAAUAUAUCUAAGGAUUCAAAUGCAAUUCACCCAUUAUAUAUAGAGAGAGAUAGAGAGAGAGUUUUGCUAGAAUACUAUCGGUAGUAAACGGCUCAGUUUAAUACCAAUUUGUUUUCGAUGAUAGAGAUUUCAAAUUGACAAUCGACACUGUUAAACAUGAUCUAAACCAUUUAAACUAUCUGGAAAUUAAAUUUCACGUUUUUUCGAUAGUAUUCUCUUGUCCAUCAAGUGAAAAAAAAAUGAAUGGCUGAAAAUGAAUAUUUUUCAAAAAAAUGAUGGUAUUUAAGAUCACUCUCUCAAACUUUUUUUUAUAUUUAAGAUCUAUACUCAGAUCUUGUUUUAAAUAGUUUUAAAAAAAUUUUAAUAAAAAUUUAGUUGAUGUGAACUUUUCUAUAUCGUUAAACGAGUAGCUAUUAAAAUUACAAACUUUUUGUGACUCUUUGAUCGUUCGAUUAGUAAUGUCAAAAAAAUAUAAAAUUUGAUUUGAGAUAAUUUAAAUGGUCUAUAUAUAUAUUUAACGGUGCUGACAAUCGAUUUGCAAGAUCUUUCAUCGAAAAUAAAUCGAUAGUAAACCGAACCAUUUACUGUCGAUAGUAGUCUCGUCAAGCGCGCGCGCUCUCUCUCUC
rnacentral:lncRNA from 1 species